UACGGAGGGUGCGAGCGUUAAUCGGAAUUACUGGGCGUAAAGGGUGCGUAGGUGGUUAUUUAAGUUAGCUGUGAAAUUCCUGGGCUUAACCUGGGGUGGUCAGCUAAGACUGGAUAGCUUGAGUAUAGGAGAGGGUAGUGGAAUUUCCGGUGUAGCGGUGAAAUGCGUAGAGAUCGGAAGGAACACCAGUGGCGAAGGCGGCUACCUGGCCAGAUACUGACACUGAGGCACGAAAGCGUGGGGAGCAAACAGG
rnacentral:rRNA from 1 species